UUGAUGUGUAGGAUAGGUGGGAGGCUUUGAAGUGUGGACGCCAGUCUGCAUGGAGCCGACCUUGAAAUACCACCCUUUAAUGUUUGAUGUUCUAACGUGGACCCGUAAUCCGGGUUGCGGACAGUGUCUGGUGGGUAGUUUGACUGGGGCGGUCUCCUCCUAAAGAGUAACGGAGGAGCACGAAGGUUGGCUAAUCCUGGUCGGACAUCA
rnacentral:rRNA from 1 species